AGGUUGGACGGGGUGUUUGGGGACAUGGUUUAGGGGGUGAUAUUGGUGGUACGGAGAUGGUUGGACCAGGUAUCUUGGAGGGCUUUUCCAACCUUAAUGUAUCUAUGAUGUUUUAGGAACUUCAUUGACAAACUGCUCUGUAAGAACUAAACUCAAUGUAAUCUGCACCUGCAUCUAUUUUUCUUAUUACACUUAACUGUGAGCAGUUUGACUACAAAGAUUACUUUAUGUAGAAGUUAAACGACUAUUGCUUGGAAUUUUAGUUGUCCAUAAACCCAUUGAUAUUCAAAUAACCAACAGCAGUGAUAACAACAACAGAAGUUACCACAAAGAAAGUACGACCUUAUUCAUGACACUAACAGAUAUCUCAAGGCUCAUGUUGACUCACUUAAAAUUUAUUGAUAAUAAUAAAAAAGGCCAAUACAUGCAAGCUGCUAAAAGUCACAGGUGCAGCUGUGAAAACAGGGGAAAUGUGAUCCCCACUUGAAGAUGGUAUGAUCUAAAGUAAUGGACAAAGCACAGGAUCUGUAAAACGUAACAGCAAAUGGUUUUGUUUGCAUGCAUUUUUAAUCUGUGUAUGUUAAAAUAUGAAAUAGAAGUAAAAAAGGAGGUAAGUUAACUCACAGCUUUUCUCUGCUUAGCCACAUGAUCUAAUUUUGUAGUCUUUCUGAGGACUGCUGCAGCAUAAACAGAUAUCUAAAUUUCAUCAUGGCACUUUGGCCUGGCAAGGGACGUUUAGAAAAAGUUUUACUUUUUGUUCACUGACUCCUUCAUAUUAGGCCGGGAAGUACUUUUGUGCUAUCAGUACCAAGACCGAGUGCAAAGUUGCCAAGAUCAUGCGUGUUUCACUCAGCUGCACUCUAAACACUGUAUGUAAUGUUUCUGCAAAUUUUCUCUUACAGUUGUAUUUCCAGGUUUAGCACUGCUAUCCGUCAUUGCACCAAGGGCCUUCUCAUCCAUUGGAAUGAUACUGAUAAAAGUGUGAACGUCUGCUGAAAAAUCACAGGUUGUUCAAUUUGGGGAGCAAGAUAUGAUUGCGAACGGCUUUUCCCUCAAAAAAGGAUCACUGUGCAGCUUCUAGUCUUCUGAUAGCAUUUUCACCAUGUUCAUUAGAUACCCAAACUUCUUUUUUUUUAAAUAAAAAAAAAA